GGCUGUGAAUGUACUUAAUGCUGCUGAACUGCACACUUGGUCAAGUUUUCGAGGCCGUGGUGAUGGUCCUGGCUGGGCCAGGGCAGAAGGAGCCCGGUGUGGACUUCAAUCAAGGGGGCACUGCCAGGACAAGACCCUGCUUCGCUUCCUGGAUGCAGUUGAUGGUGAUUGAACCCAGGGAACUCAUGCAUGCUUCACAAGUUUUAUACCACUGAGCUAUAUGCUCCGGCUUCUUC